rnacentral:lncRNA from 1 species
GAUAUACGCAAUUUGAUAUUAUAUGCUACACCAAAUACAAUCUCUGCAUUAUCGCAUUACAACACAAACGGUCUAUAGCGACACUUUUAAAUAUCGGUACAAGUAAAAAAAAAAUAAUGCUGGCUAAAUUACCGAUACUUUUAAAAAGUGUUGCUUUAUGUGGGGUCGCUAGGUAUAUAGUGACAGUUAAAAAGUGUCGCUAUAACAUAAAAAGAGUGCUGCUAAUUUAACAAUACUUAUUUAAGCAUCUAGCAACCGCCAAAACUCUACUUUGUUGGCUGCGGUGGCGGAGGAGUACGAGAGGGAAGGGCCCUUCGUGCGGUGGUGGAGGAGUACGAGAGGGAAGGGCCCUUCGUCUAGAAUUUUAGUAGAAUGAGUGAGAGGAGAAGGGAAGAUGGUAAUCGAUUUUUCUUUGUUUUUUUUUCUGUUUGUAAUCGGGCCAAAUGGGUUGGGUUGGAUGGGUUGAGUAGAGUAACCUUUUANCGGUGGUGGAGGAGUACGAGAGGGAAGGGCCCUUCGUCUAGAAUUUUAGUAGAAUGAGUGAGAGGAGAAGGGAAGAUGGUAAUCGAUUUUUUUUUUUUUUUUUUUUCUGUUUGUAAUCGGGCCAAAUGGGCUAGGUUGAGUGGGUUGAGUAGAGUAAUUUUUUAUUUUUGUUGGAUUCGGCUUUAUAUUUAGACAUUAGUAAAUAUUUUUUUAAAUUUUGGCAUAAAUAGGACAUUUAGACAAAAAUGUCCCAAACAUGUGUCGUUAUAAUCUAAUUCUGUUGUAGUGUAUAUCUCAAAAAGCGCCUUAGAGU